CCUACGUGUGGCAGCAGUGAGGAAUAUUGGUCAAUGGUCGGGAGACUGAACCAGCCAAGCCGCGUGAGGGAUGAAGGUACAGAGUAUCGUAAACCUCUUUUGUCAGGGAACAAAGGCGGGGACGCGUCCCCGGAUGAGUGUACCUGAAGAAAAAGCAUCGGCUAACUCCGUGCCAGCACCCGCGGUAAUACGGAGGAUGCGAGCGUUAUCCGGAUUUACUGGGUGUAAAGGGAGCGUAGACGGCGCUGCAAGUCCGGAGUGAAAGCCCAUGGCUUAACCAUGGUACUGCUCUGGAAACUGUAGGGCUGGAGUGCGGGAGGGGCAGGCGGAAUUCCUAGUGUAGCGGUGAAAUGCGUAGAUAUUAGGAGGAACACCGGCGGCGAAGGCGGCCUGCUGGACCGUAACUGACGUUGAGGCUCGAAAGCGUGGGGAGCAAACAGGAUUAGAUACCCCUGUAGUC
rnacentral:rRNA from 1 species